ACAUGUUUGAUUUGUGAUUCAUUGCUUCUGUGUAGGAAUUUGAGCUUUCGUUUCAGUGAAUGUUUCCACUUGGAUUAUCUAAUACGAAAUGUGUUCAAAGAAUCACAUCACUGUAGGCUAUGGAUGUGUGUACACAGACUCAGAUGAGGUCUUCUGUCAGUCAGCAGCUCUUUUGAUCAUCGACGCCUCCUCAAACUCCCACAGCUACACAUAGAGCCGUGGAUAUGCUGAUAUGAUCACCCUGGCAACAUCACGAGCCACUGAGGACAAAAACACCAGAUCUGCUUGAAGACGCUGGUCUCUGUGAAAGUCAGUGCUGGCGCCCUUCAUCGUAUGGUAAUCAUCCUCGCUUGCAAAAAGGAGGGACGGCGGCCAAACAGGACUGGAUUUGAUCUGCGUCCAGGGCUCUACUGAUAACCCCAUCUAUCUUAGUUGAUUUGGCAAAAAGGGCCUCACUAAUGACACCAGAGGGGGUGGCAAACCCACCACCUUGACAGAUGUCCAAAUCACUGGUAAACAACAGAACACGGGUGAAAAGAAAUAAAUGACCGCUUCGAAUCGGCAGGGAGGUUGAAAAUGUCUGAAGACUCGCCAGGAGAGGAAGUUGAGCUUUGAUUGGAGCUGGAAACGGGGAAUA